rfam:Flavobacterium rivuli WB 3.3-2 = DSM 21788 strain WB 3.3-2 contig2, whole genome shotgun sequence.
UAAUUAGAGGAAAGAUUUGUACUGAUUGCAACCUCAUUAAAAAAUGCUAAAGCAGGACUU